rnacentral:rRNA from 1 species
AUGAUGGGUAUUAUGUGCAUUGUGUAUUGUGUAUUAUGUAUUAUGUAUGGUGUAGGUAGCAAGCAGCUUCCUUUUGUCCCAGGUCAUGUAAUAUCAUCAGCAAAAAUAGAACUUAAGACAACAAGGUCUUACAUUUUUCUUGUUAAAGAAGAAGGUGGUGUAGCAAGACUGAUGAUAGUGUUGCUCUCUCGGUGUGGUAACUCAUACUGUGGCAGUGUAGUUUGGUCAUGCCAUGACGAGUGGCAUGAUCAAAACAAGGAUCAGUUCAACUUUUUGAUAAUAACAGAGAAAAAAGAAAGCAAGGACAAAGGGGGCGGACUGGGAAGAGUCUGGCUAUUAUCACAAAUCGUAAUCGGCAAAAUUCUAAUAGUAUACGACGAAUCCAGUUGA